rnacentral:pre_miRNA from 1 species
AUGCUGUAAGGCAUCGUUAACAGAUAGAGAAUCUUCUCAGAAAAUUCUCCAAAUUUGAUGUUUGAAAUCUGACUGAUUCUUUGAGAACUGUGAGCCUGUAGUUAAGCUAUCAGCUUGAAAUCCUUUACUGCAGCACUACAUACUCCGGAACCUUGUUACUGUUAUUAGCCACCAGCAAGCCAGCUCAAUUUACAGUUAGUGCCACCACAAAAGGACUCUUCCCAGUUAUAUGUAAGCUAUACCACCCAGAUAUUCAGCUACACCUUGAAGGCAUAAGAAGCAUAUGCUUUUGGAUACAAUCAAAUGGAGAAUCUGAUGGGAAUAUUCUUUAUCUGUUAACAACAAACAAAGGCUCAG